rnacentral:rRNA from 1 species
AGCAUAUCAAUAAGCGGAGGAAAAGAAACCAACAGGGAUUGCCCCAGUAACGGCGAGUGAAGCGGCAACAGCUCAAAUUUGAAAUCUGGCCCCUAGGGCCCGAGUUGUAAUUUGCAGAGGAUGCUUUUGGCGAGGUGCCUUCCGAGUUCCCUGGAACGGGACGCCAUAGAGGGUGAGAGCCCCGUCUGGUUGGAUACCGAGCCUCUGUAAAGCUCCUUCGACGAGUCGAGUAGUUUGGGAAUGCUGCUCUAAAUGGGAGGUAUAUGUCUUCUAAAGCUAAAUAUUGGCCAGAGACCGAUAGCGCACAGGUAGAGUGAUCGAAAGAUGAAAAGCACUUUGAAAAGAGGGUUAAAAAGUACGUGAAAUUGUUGAAAGGGAAGCACUCAUGACCAGACUUGGGCCCGGUGAAUCACCCAGCGUUCUUCGCUGGGGCACUUUGCCGGGGUCAGGCCAGCAUCAGUUCGUGCCGGGGGACAAAGACUUCGGGAACGUGGCUCCUCCGGGAGUGUUAUAGCCCGUUGUGCAAUACCCUGGGGCGGACUGAGGUUCGCGCAUUUAUGCAAGGAUGCNGGCGUAAUGGUCAUCAGUGACCCGUCU